CCCUUAGAUGUCAUGGGCCGCACGCGCGCUACACUGAUGCAUUCAACGAGUUUUUCCUUGGCCGAGAGGCCUGGGCAAUCUUUUGAACGUGCAUCGUGAUAGGGAUAGAUUAUUGCAAUUUUUAAUCUUGAACGAGGAAUUCCUAGUAAACGCAGAUCAUCAAUCUGCAUUGAUUACGUCCCUGCCCUUUGUACACACCGCCCGUCGCACCUACCAAUUGAAUGGUCCGGUGAAGCCUCGGGAUUGUGGCUAGUUCCCUUCAUUGGGAGUUGGUUGCGAGAACUUGUCUAAACCUUAUCAUUUAGAGGAAGGUGAAGUCGUANCA
rnacentral:rRNA from 1 species